rnacentral:rRNA from 1 species
UUGCGCAAUGGGCGAAAGCCUGNCGCAGCGACGCCGCGUGGGUGAUGAAGGCCUUCGGGUCGUAAAACCCUGUCGGGUGGAACGAAUCCUGCUUCGCUAAUACCGGAGCGGUUUGACGGUACCACCGAAGGAAGCCCCGGCUAACUACGUGCCAGCAGCCGCGGUAAUACGUAGGGGGCGAGCGUUGUUCGGAUUUACUGGGCGUAAAGAGCGCGUAGGUGGUUCGAUGAGUCGGAGGUGAAAUCCCUCGGCUUAACCGAGGACCCGCGUCCGAUACUGUCGAACUUGAGUGCAGGAGAGGAGAGCGGAAUUCCCAGUGUAGCGGUGAAAUGCGUAGAUAUUGGGAGGAACACCGGUGGCGAAGGCGGCUCUCUGGACUGUCACUGACACUGAGGCGCGAAAGCUAGGGGAGCAAACGGGAUUAGAUACCCCGGUAGUCCUAGCCGUAAACGAUGGGCACUAGGUGUGGGAGGUAUCGACCCCUUCCGUGCCGCAGCUAACGCAUUAAGUGCCCCGCCUGGGGAGUACGGCCGCAAGGUUGAAACUCAAAAAAAUUGACGGA